rnacentral:lncRNA from 1 species
CGGAUCAUCUUUUCGGCGCACUGGAUCUUCUUUCGGUUGAUGUAGUCGCCGCCGGCACCUUCUUUAUUGGGGUUGUUCACGAGGUCUUCCCAGAUCAUGGAGGUGACUGCCGAGAUCGUCCGCGAGGGGGUCGUGGCCGGGAUGUCGAUCCUCAUGGUCGCCGCCUUCGGCUUGCCGUCUUUCUUUGCCUUGCCUCCCGGCCCCGACGGCACGAGGGUAAUGCCGUUCCGCUCCAGGGCGGCGAUGAGUUCGUCCGUCGUUGAG